rnacentral:hammerhead_ribozyme from 1 species
AUCCGACUGUCGAGUUCCAAAUAAGACGAAACGCGCAUCCUGGAU